rnacentral:ncRNA from 2 species
AUUGAGAGGGAUAGUUUCAGUAUCUAGGAACACGGUGCAAUUCCGUGGCGGACCCGCCGCUGUAUUCGGGGACGCCGGCUGCAAGGCGAAAGCCAGUCACUGAUGGGGACGUCCUGUCGGGAAGGCGCAGACGGCGGACGAUCCGAGAGCCAGAAGACCUGCUGAAACGGUCCGACCGGG